rnacentral:rRNA from 1 species
CCUACGGGUGGCAGCAGUCGAGAAUUAUUCACAAUGGGGGAAACCCUGAUGGUGCGACGCCGCGUGGGGGAAUGAAGGUCUUCGGAUUGUAAACCCCUGUCAUGUGGGAGCAAAUUAAAAAGAUAGUACCACAAGAGGAAGAGACGGCUAACUCUGUGCCAGCAGCCGCGGUAAUACAGAGGUCUCAAGCGUUGUUCGGAAUCACUGGGCGUAAAGCGUGCGUAGGCUGUUUCGUAAGUCGUGUGUGAAAGGCGCGGGCUCAACCCGCGGACGGCACAUGAUACUGCGAGACUAGAGUAAGGGAGAGGGAACCGGAAUUCUCGGUGUAGCAGUGAAAUGCGUAGAUAUCGAGAGGAACACUCGUGGCGAAGGCGGGUUCCUGGACAUUAACUGACGCUGAGGCACGAAGGCCAGGGGAGCGAAAGGGAUUAGAUACCCCAGUAGUC